GGCAGAUUUGCAUAAUGUGGGAACCUCAGCUCAUAGGUGACAGGUGUUUCUGAUUACACCAGAUGAGAUGUGAAGUGCUGAAGGUGUUAGUUGUGUUGUUUUUUUCUUGGCCUGAUAAGACUGUUAGCUAUGGAGUAGAAGCAAAGCUGUAGUACUAAGGGUGAAAAGAAGAUGGAAAAGCUCCUGAUGAAGAAGAAAUAUAGCUGGAUGAGGAUUAUCUCCAAAGGUUGACCUAUGGACUUUGCCAAAAAAAAUUUUCCAUGUGAACUUGAGUUUGCAAGGCCCUUUUUUCUUUCCCAAAAACUCUGCGUUCUGAUAAAGGACAUCUGUGACAAGAUGGAACUUGGCACCAGUAACUCAUGUACUAUGGGUGAAGCAUGCUCAGAAGAGGUAGUCCUGCGUCUUGUAAAUGGCUCUGGGUGAAUCCAAAGAACUGCAUGUGAUUUGUCAGGCGUUUUUAAGAUAAAUGGUAAAACUGAACUGGAAAUCCAUCUGGCCAGCUGCCUGAUCUAAUGAAUAACCCCACUUUGGCUCCUGCAAUGUAAGCAGAAAGAGUUCUCUCCCGGCCGCUUUCGUCUGUCAUGAAUCUACAAGACAGCCGACAUAAUAUCUGGGCGACAACAGCGUGCUAACAGUGCAGUGACUUCCAUUUUCUUUGCUUUCUAUUGAUUUUCACUUAAUAACUGGCGAAAUACUAAACGUCCGCCCUGAGUACCUAAUAAAUCCUGCCUGAGCUUUUUAUUGAGGAGAAUU
rnacentral:lncRNA from 1 species